rnacentral:misc_RNA from 1 species
GAAAUGCGAUAAGUAAUGUGAAUUGCAGAAUUCAGUGAAUCAUCGAAUCUUUGAACGCACCUUGCGCUCCUUGGUAUUCCUUGGAGCAUGCCUGUUUGAGUAUCAUGAAAUCUUCAAAGUAAAUCUUUUGUUAACUCAAUUGGUUUCUACUUUGGUAUUGGAGGUCUUUGCAGCUUCACACCUGCUCCUCUUUGUUCAUUAGCUGGAUCUCAGUGUUAUGCUUGGUUCCACUCGGCGUGAUAAGUUAUCUAUCGCUGAGGACACUGUAAAAGGUGGCCAAGGUAAAUGCAGAUUAACCGCUUCUAAUAGUCCAUUGACUUGGACAAUAUUUUUAUGAUCUGAUCUCAAAUCAGGUAGGACUACCCGCUGAACUUAAGC